rnacentral:rRNA from 1 species
GAUGAACGCUAGCGGCAGGCCUAAUACAUGCAAGUCAAGGGGCUCGCAAGAGCACCGGCGGACGGGUGCGUAACGCGUACAGAACGUGCCUUUGGGCGGGGGAUAGCAUUGGGAAACUGGUGGUAAUACCCCAUGGUAUUUCGGGUUGGCAUCGACCUGGAAUUAAAGUUUCGGCGCCCAAAGAUCGCUGUGCGUCCGAUUAGCUAGUUGGCGGGGUAACGGCCCACCAAGGCGACGAUCGGUAGGGGGUGUGAGAGCAUGAUCAGCCACACUGGGACUGAGACACGGCCCAGACUCCUACGGGAGGCAGCAGUGGGGAAUAUUGGACAAUGGGCGCAAGCCUGAUCCAGCCAUGCCGCGUGAGUGAUGAAGGCCUUAGGGUUGUAAAGCUCUUUCAGUGGGGACGAUAAUGACGGUACCCACAGAAGAAGCCCCGGCUAACUUCGUG